GCUUCCUUGGCUCAGUUGGCUAGAGCGCGAGUCUCAUACAAUUGGUGUGAGGUCAGUGAAUGACUAUAAUCUCGAGGUCGCAAGUUCGAGCCUUGCAGGGAGCA
rnacentral:tRNA from 1 species